AGCGAACGCUGGCGGCAGGCCUAACACAUGCAAGUCGAACGAUCCUUCGGGAUAGUGGCGGACGGGUGAGUAACACGUGGGAACGUGCCCUUUGGUUCGGAAUAACUCAGGGAAACUUGAGCUAAUACCGGAUGUGCCCUUCGGGGGAAGGAUUUAUCGCCAUUGGAGCGGCCCGCGUUGGAUUAGCUAGUUGGUGGGGUAAAGGCCCACCAAGGCUACGAUCCAUAGCUGGUCUGAGAGGAUGAUCAGCCACACUGGGACUGAGACACGGCCCAGACUCCUACGGGAGGCAGCAGUGGGGAAUCUUGCGCAAUGGGCGAAAGCCUGACGCAGCCAUGCCGCGUGAAUGAUGAAGGUCUUAGGAUUGUAAAAUUCUUUCACCGGGGACGAUAAUGACGGUACCCGGAGAAGAAGCCCCGGCUAACUUCGUGCCAGCAGCCGCAGUAAAAC
rnacentral:rRNA from 1 species